rnacentral:snRNA from 1 species
UGAAUGGUGACUAAAACCGUAUC